rnacentral:rRNA from 1 species
UACGUAGGUGGCGAGCGUUGUCCGGAUUUACUGGGUGUAAAGGGCGUGUAGGCGGGGAUGUAAGUCAGAUGUGAAAUUCCAUGGCUCAACUGUGGGGCUGCAUCUGAAACUAUAUCUCUUGAGUGCUGGAGAGGAAAGCGGAAUUCCUAGUGUAGCGGUGAAAUGCGUAGAUAUUAGGAGGAACACCAGUGGCGAAGGCGGCUUUCUGGACAGUAACUGACGCUGAGGCGCGAAAGCGUGGGGAGCAAACAGG